UUAUGCUUCACAUUUUAUCCUGGCAAAUUUUUAAUUCCACCUUUACUUUCCGUACCGUAUUUCUGACUUUCUAUCACCACCACAGUGAUUUUAUGAACUCCUCAACAGAAAAUAUCACCCUUUUCACUCCCGAUAACGAGGAGCGCUGCUGGCUGUUAUUUCAGGGCUGCGAGAGAGAGAGAGAGAGAAGCGGCAGAUGAGACACAUUCAACCCGAUUUGCCACGUUGUAAUUUAGCUGUCAGAGGAAAUGUCUGCACUCCUGCAGGACUGUCACAAUUCAGAAAAAUCAUGUAUGUCAUGUCAAUGCCAGUUAAGAGCGAAACCCGAUCGGCUGUUUUGAUGGGCCUGCCGAAGUUGAGUGACGCCAAUAUGCUGUCAGAUUUCUGCUAUAAAGCGCUAAACAGCCGUCGUUUUGAUGGACCAUUUUAUGAAACACAACAGGAGAUGCAAGCAGAAUGUCCGAGAAGCUGUUUUCCAUUCAGAUGUUGGUUUAUAAUGCUAAGCUGCAGAAAGCAUGAAAGAAAAAAAAACUUUGGAAUGACAUGGAGAAUCAGACUGAUUCAGACCGAUACCUCUCAAAGAUCAUGAGAUUGAGAUGAGGAAAUCCAGUUGAUGGAGUUUG